GACGAACGCUGGCGGCGUGCUUAACACAUGCAAGUCGAACGGUGAAGCGCCUUCCUUUUUGGUGGGUGUGGAUGAGUGGCGAACGGGUGAGUAACACGUGAGUAACCUGCCCCCUUCUUCUGGAUAACCGCAUGAAAGUGUGGCUAAUACGGGAUAUUCUGGGUCUGUCGCAUGAUGGGUCUGGGAAAGAUAUUGUUUCGGUGGGGGAUGGGCUCGCGGCCUAUCAGCUUGUUGGUGGGGUGAUGGCCCACCAAGGCGGUGACGGGUAGCCGGCCUGAGAGGGUGGACGGUCACACUGGGACUGAGACACGGCCCAGACUCCUACGGGAGGCAGCAGUGGGGAAUAUUGCACAAUGGGCGCAAGCCUGAUGCAGCGACGCCGCGUGAGGGAUGGAGGCCUUCGGGUUGUGAACCUCUUUCGCCAGUGAAGCAGGCCUGCCUCGUUUGUGGGUGGGUUGACGGUAGCUGGAUAAGAAGCGCCGGCUAACUACGUG
rnacentral:rRNA from 1 species